rnacentral:misc_RNA from 1 species
AAGUCGUAACAAGGUUUCCGUAGGUGAACCUGCGGAAGGAUCAUUAAUGAUUGCGAAUGGUUACCUUCCGGUGGCUGGCUCCUUCGCAAGUGCACGUUGGUGGCUUUCAUCCAAUACCCGUUGGUGAACCUUUGGCCUCUUGCUAGCCUUCGGGCUGGCAGAGGAUUUUUACACACUCGAAUGCUAAUGAAAACUAUUGCUCGUGCGCAAGCACUAAUGUACAA